rnacentral:tRNA from 1 species
CGGGGAGUAGCGCAGCCUGGUAGCGCACUUGCAUGGGGUGCAAGGGGUCGCAGGUUCAAAUCCUGUCUCCCCGA